rnacentral:snoRNA from 1 species
GUCCUUCGGUUCAUAAGCAUGGUGAUUGGGUGUUCACGCUCUUGUGUGAGAUGUGCCUCCCUCUAAACCUUGUUAUGACAUUGGCACAUUACCCGUCUGACA